rnacentral:lncRNA from 1 species
GUUUUAAGGAUGGGCAUAGAGAAAGGACUAAGAAGUAGGAUUUGUAUGAAGCUUUAUUUUAAGGGGUGAAUAGCAAUGGAAAUGGAUUCUUAAGCCAUCCCAGGAGUUAGUUCAUCUGUGUUAAUCUUGUUCCUUUUUUCAUAGAUAAUUGAUUUGAUGGUUUUAUUUUUUCAGCAAAAUGCGUGUAUUAUGUGUUGUGAAAACAGGAACGAACUAAACGUGGGAGCCCUGCUCCCUCCCCGGAGCGCCCUCAACCCUAGGCCUUUCCUGCAGAGGUAGCUGCUGCUGAAUUUCUUAUGUAGCACACUGAUUCUUUAAUUUGUGUACUCAAACACUGUACUUUGCUCAGAGCACACAGAUGGGGUUGUAUUAGACACAACGUUGUGCAUUUCAUUUCUUUUUUUCCCAAAGAGGUGUUGCUUGGAGUUGCAGAACCCAUCACCAUCCCCUUGGAGUUACAAAGUGUUUUGUUCCUUUACAUGAAUAUCUUGACUCGUUUUAAUCCACCCCCUCUUGAUGGAUGGUUGAGUAGUUUCUAGCUUUCUGCUGUUAAACUUGAAGCCCCUGCAAAUCUCUUAGGUAAGGGUUUAUCUUCUGGGCUCCUGUCAGUGUGAGUUAAUGGAUUAUUAUAUUUGUUGUUGAACCAGGAAGGGUCAUGGUUUGCAUGCUCACCUGGGGUUGAAUUGUGGGAUUGGACUGGUGCUUCAUUCUCUGUGGUUUGGGUACAACCUGGCAGGAAAGGCUUGUUUUCGGAUUUUGAGAAAAUACUUGAGCAAUAAGUUAGAAAUGGGCCUAAAUUGUCACUGGGCUGGAUCUGAGGGUCCGUGAGGCUGAAAUAAGGAACUUAGCCCACCCUUUAAAAUAUGUUUGCAGGUUUAUUGACUCCCAUCAUGGAAAAGGAUUUUCAAGAUGCAUCAGUAAAAGAGACAUGCGAAGGAUUUAUUGGAGUCCAUGCUCAGCUGACUACAAAGCAGAAGCACCAUGGUGGAAAGGUGUGGGGAGCAAAUCUGCUCAACUCCUGGCAUCUGGGAAUCAGCAGGGGAAGAGCCAGAGAGGAAGGGGCAGGAACCAGAUGGAGUCACUUCCUCCAACUAGACCUCCUAACAACCCAUUAGCCAUGAACUCAUCCCGGGUGAGUCCAAUGAUGGAGCCCUUAAAGUCUAAUCCCUGCUCCAAGAGUCCCUUAAUCCACUUAACUAGAUUAACUGCCACAACAAUGCAACACAGAUGAACAGAAUCCAGGUGGGAAGACCCACUCGUGCGGUUUCAUUUAAGUAAAUCCCAAGGGAAAGGCAAGACUGUAAAGACAAGUACUGGGGCUGGGAUAGGCGAUGGAGUUGACUGUAGGAUGACAGGAAGGACCUUUCUGGGGGAGAAAGAAAGGUCCUAGACCUGAACUGGGUGAUGGAAGUGUGGCUGUAUAGAAACCCCAGAGCUCACCAAGCUAUACAUUUAGAAAGGCUGACUUUAAUUUGUGACUGAGGUUUAAUUUAAUUGCAAAUUUCAA